rnacentral:rRNA from 1 species
UAAAACGUAGGAGGCGAGCGUUAUCCGGAUUUACUGGGUGUAAAGCGCGUGUAGGCGGUAACGUAAGUCAUGUGUGAAAGCGCUCAGGCUCAACCGGGCGAGGCCAUACGAAACUGCGGAACUAGAGGUAGGUAGAGGCGUGUGGAAUUCCAGGUGUAGUGGUGAAAUGCGUAGAGAUCUGGAGGAACACCAGUGGCGAAGGCGACACGCUGGGCCCAACCUGACGCUAAGACGCGAAAGCAUGGGGAGCAAACGGGAUUAGAAACCCCGGUAGUCCAUGCCGUAAACGAUGUGUACUAAGUGUUGCGGCGUAGAAACCGCAGUGCUGAAGCUAACGUGAUAAGUACACCACCUGGGGAGUACGGUCGCAAGAUUA